CCUACGGGAGGCUGCAGUGAGGAAUCUUGGUCAAUGGGCGUAAGCCUGAACCAGCCAAGUCGCGUGAGGGAUGAAGGUUCUAUGGAUCGUAAACCUCUUUUAUCAGGGAAUAAAGUGCGGUACGUGUCCCGUUAUGUAUGUACCUUCUGCAUAAGGAUCGGCUAACUCCGUGCCAGCAGCCGCGGUAAUACGGAGGAUCCGAGCGUUAUCCGGCUUUAUUGGGUUUAAAGGGUGCGUAGGCGGCCUUUUACGUCAGCGGUGAAAGUCUGUGGCUCAACCAUAGAAUUGCGGGUGAAACUGGGAGGCUUGAGGAUGUUUGAGGCAGGCGGAAUGCGUGGUGUAGCGGUGAAAUGCUUAGAUAUCA
rnacentral:rRNA from 1 species